rnacentral:misc_RNA from 1 species
UGGGCUGGACCUGCUUACUCAAAUUCGCCACCGGCCAGUUCCCUUCCAAUUCCAAAGUUUUCAAUGAGGCCAAAACGAACCGUAUCGCUUGAGUUGCCGGUCUCUAAUUCUGGUAUCAAAGUGCAUCCGAUUGCCAAGUCCGCCCCUGCUUCCCCCAAAAGGGAAUAUAGCCCAUUCGCUAAAGACCUGUUUCUAAGCGUUGAUUCUGCGACUAAGACUCUGCGUCGCAUUCUUAAUCUUGAUGUGGCGGAUGAUUGAAGAUUGGCGGCUUAUGCUUCUGUAAAUAUUUUUAGUGUUAGACUGUAUAUAAAGGGAAUAAAUUGUUAGUAGUAUGUAUCCGUUGAAGUUAAACUGUUAGCUUUUGCUUAUGGUGGUGGUGAUCGUCGUACAAGUGAAAGAUGUGGCUUUGAUUGGCGAUGAUCUCCAUGUCCAGAAUUAAUAAGUUGAUGUGUGAUGUGGAUUAGUGUUUCAGUGAUUGGGUUUCUUAGCAAGUUAGGCAAGUUAAGUGCAGUUAAGAUGGGGCAAGUUACUUGUAGCUUGGGAAGUGUAACAUGGAUCAUGGAUGGAAUCUGACUAUAAUACCUUCAGGAAGCAGGAGGGAACCGUGAAUUAGGUGACUUCAUUGGCAAUUGAAUGGAACAACUUACUGCUACAAGGAAACUACAUCUUUGUUAUGAUGUAUGGUCUUCAAUAUAAUCUCCUCGUAUAAAUUUUCGUUGCCGAGUGAAAUUUAGGCCUAUAGUAUCAGGUACACUGUAUAUACGGUUAAAUCUUAAUUAGAUUAGUCUUACUCCAAUCUCGUAGGCUUAUGUCUUUUUUUGUAGAAUGAUCUUUAUUUCAUCCAAGUCGUCGUCUUUCUUGAUUUUCUAGUUUCUGACGUAGGUUAGUGUGCUGGCUUUCUAAUUUAGUAUUACUUCCAUUAGCAUCUUGAACAGUUACUUGUAACUGCUUUACUUGGUUCUUUGUUGCCUGCGUUGAUUUCUCAACAAUCAAAACCUCCUCAUAUACAUACCAUUUCUUUCUUUGUUUCUUUUAGAUAGGUCUAACUCCCUGCAUACACUCUGCAUGGGUGUUGUUUCCUCCUCGCCAUCUUUUCUGUUUUUUUUUUUAGAGGGAAAGUGGCAAGUGAAAGUGAAAUUAGUUGUUAUCGCAUCUGCUUUUUGGGUUUGUAAAGUCAAUCCAAUCCGUGUUGCUUCUUCGAGUUGUAACUUGUAAGCCUAUUAGUUUCUUGUUCUUUUGAGCGGAUAACAGAGUGUACUCUUGGUCUUCAUAGAGCUUGUCUUUUUAGGAGACUGUUGUCGUACCAAGCUAAUUGCGAGGCCACAGGUGUGGAAGAUUCCAGGAGGCUGCUUUUGUAGUAGAUGUUCUUUCUUCAUAGCGUAAUAGUUUCUUAAAGCAAGUUUUAUGAGGAUCCAUUUUCAGUUUUUAUUGUCGCUCAUGGAAAUACAAGCUAAUUUCUGUCUGGCUGUUUUGUCUUGUGUACCAGUAGUGGUUUAAUUAGUCUGAUGUUGGAUGAUUUGUGUUUGUGUUGAGACUGCAAUACUAGUUUAAUUACUCCAUCCUUUUU